CCUACGGGAGGCUGCAGUGGGGAAUAUUGCACAAUGGGGGAAACCCUGAUGCAGCGACGCCGCGUGAGUGAAGAAGUAAUUCGUUAUGUAAAGCUCUAUCAGCAGGGAAGAAAAUGACGGUACCUGAAUAAUACGCCCCGGCUAACUCCGUGCCAGCCGCCGCGGUAAUACGUAGGGGGCAAGCGUUAUCCGGAUUUACUGGGUGUAACGGGAGCGUAGACGGCAGUGCAAGUCUGGAGUGAAAGGCGGGGGCUCAACCCCCGGACUGCUCUGGAAACUGUACGGCUGGAGUGCAGGAGAGGUAAGUGGAAGUCCUAGUGUAGCGGUGAAAUGCGUAGAUAUUAGGAGGAACACCAGUGGCGAAGGCGGCUUACUGGACUGUAACUGACGUUGAGGCUCGAAAGCGUGGGGAGCAAACAGGAUUAGAUACCCCUGUAGUC
rnacentral:rRNA from 1 species